AGUGAAAAGGUAAAUGAAAGAAAAACCAAAAAUUAGAAUUGUUUCCCUGAUUCUGAAAUAAACCCUAGAGAAAACCCACGUAAGUUUUUCCCUCUUUGCCUCCAAAACUUUUUCACCCAAUAAUUCCCUCUUUAAUUCUGUCGUUCCUCGCUAGUUGACUCCGCCCGGCGCCCUUCUGCCAAGUGCCGACUGCAACUCUUCUUCAACUCUUCUGCUCUUGACUGCUGGAGGAUGGUUCGAUUGGGAGAACGAAGUCGUUUGGUGCUUCUGGAACGGUGGAACCCAAGUUGGUGAAGUGGUUUUCAACACAUCAUUAACUGGAUUCAUUUAUCAUUUCUAGUCCACAGAUUGAAAUUGGAAAGAAGGUGGGAUCAGGCUCAUGGUCUCAAGGUCAUUGAUAGAAGUCCCGAGAGAAUUCUUGCAUUUGAUUCUUCCGUUUUUUGUGUAAUGGUCAGGUUAUCUUGGGUGUGUAAUUGAUAUCUGAAUGGAUCACUUUGUGCACAAUGGCUCAAUAAGGCUAUUAUGGGUGUAGGUGUCUUAACUAUAAUGAACCACGAAAAUUUUUAGUGUUUUUGAUUUUGAUUCCUCGAUCUACUUUUAUACUUCAUUACUUCA